GCCCUACUAGCUCAAUUGGAAGAGCAGCGUCCUACGAAGGCGCAGGUUAGAAGUUCGAAUCUUCUGUGGGGUG
rnacentral:tRNA from 1 species